rnacentral:misc_RNA from 1 species
AUGUUGAGUGACGGUAAUGCCCUUUUAUCUAUAACAUAAUGUCGAAAUUAGCCUUCUCUCCUUUACUUCUUCUUUCUCCGCCUGCUCUCUGCGCCUGCUACAUCACCGCCACGGCAGCCGCCAAUCACGAUCGAUAAGCCGAGACAAAUAAACGCGCCUCGCGUCAUUGUUCAGCCUAUGUCGAGCUCUGACAACCGCCGCAUAUCGGUAUCCUUAUCGUCAUCCAAUAAUAUACGUAGUCCUUCGCGUCUGCCAUUCUGUAUCUCGAAAUGGCUAAUAGAUUCAUAAAGCGCCUCUUCCACGACUUAUAUUACACAAAUUUGAUCAAGAGACAAGAAACAUACAGAAGGUUUGUCUAUGGAUUUCUGAGUCGAUGUCAAUCACAAAUAUCAAAACCGGAUAUGGAAGAAGCAGAUGCACUGAAAGAAACAAAAAAUGCAGCCCAAGUUUCUUCAAAGCCUCAACUUAAGAAAAAGACGGACAGUAAGUCUGGACUUGGCAAAUACUGUUCUAGUGAUGAUCUGAGUGAUAAUAAGUGGAGGUUAGAGCUUGCUUGGCUUACAAAAGCUCUUGAACCAGCUCUGCAAUUGUGGAAUGGACUUGGAAGCAAAACCCCUCCUAGUGGUCGAUCUCUUACAGAGAUCAUCACAAGCAUUCAGCGGAGCAAGAGUGGGAUUGAGGGUUGGAGCUUGAGUGAUCUUACAAUCGGCCUAUUUCUUAUUUAUCUUCGACAGUCAUCCUUAAGUCCAAAUGAGGAUUUUAAGGGUGUUCAAGUCUCUUCAGAAUUAAUAGUCCAAGAUCUCAUUUACCACAUUGAGUUAGCAAAAGGUUCUUAUAAGGAUGGUGCUUUUUGGCUUGCAAGGAACAGCAUGCUUCGUGAAAGCAAUAUUCUUAAAUUUGUAAAACAUUCCAGUGUGAUGAGGCCUGGUUAUUACAUAGGGAUUGAUCCUCGCAAGAAACUCAUAAUUCUGGGAAUUCGUGGAACUCAUACUGUCUAUGACCUUAUUACUGACAUUGUUUCUUCAAGUGAUGGAGAAGUCACUUUUGAAGGCUAUUCAACCCACUUUGGCACAGCCGAAGCUGCUCGUUGGUUUCUUAAUCACGAGAUGGGAACCAUAAGGAAGUGCUUGGAGAAAUAUGAGGGAUUUAGAUUAAGGUUAGUGGGUCACUCUCUUGGAGCUGCUAUAGCUUCUUUGCUAGCGAUCAUGCUUCGGAAAAGGUCAUAUGAGGAACUUGGAUUUAGCCCUGAUAUUGUUUCUGCCAUUGGAUUUGCAACUCCUCCAUGUGUCUCCAGAGAACUCGCUGAAAGCUGUGCUGAUUUUGUUACAACUGUUGUAAUGCAGGAUGAUAUUGUACCCAGGCUAAGUGUGGCUUCUCUAGCAAGGCUGAGGAAUGAAAUUCUUCAAACUGAUUGGAUGAGUGUCAUUGAGAAGGAAGACUGGAGAAGUGUCAUAGGUUUGGUCACAAAUGCAAAGCAGGUAGUAUCUUCUGUACAAGAUGUAGCUUGGAAACUCGCCGAUUAUGCGAAGUUCAGGAGCAACAAGAAUUCUUCCGGUAAGUUCAUCUUGCUGGGUCCCAGGUGUUUUGCCAAAAUGUUAUUUUCUUGAAGGUGUUCUAAUGGAAUGUCUAUCUUCAGAGUAUAUUAUGUAUUACUCUUACAGUUAUUUUUUAAAAAACUAAAUUGUCGAAUUUUGCUUCUCUUUUGUUGCCAAAUGCUGUUUUGGUCUUUUGACAGACGGUCCCAUCUAUAAGCAGUCACUAGCAGCUUCCGGAGCCAAUUCAACUUCCAAAGCUACAAUAGUCAAUAAUUCUGUCCUCAAAAAGGAAGGAGCUGCUUGUAUGGUGUCAGAGGAGUUAUUUGUUCCAGGUACUGUUUACUAUCUAAAGAGGAACAUCGACACUAAUGCUUCCAGCAGAAAUGGCAGAGAGGUAGAAUUUUUCACACUAUGGAAAAGGCAUCCAGGUGAACAUUUCCAGAGGAUAGUACUCUCUAGCAACAUAAUCUCAGACCACAAGUGUGAUGGCCAUUACUACGCUCUACGAGAUGUACUCAAAGCUUUGCCAGUGACCCGUGACGAAGACAUCUUUAAAUGAUUAAAAACCAAUAGUCACUCAAUUUUCGCUAUAAUAUGUGAAAUGUUUAUAAAUUUCAAUUUUGCUUGUACAAUGUCAGUGUAUAACUUGCAAGCAAUUUGGUGAAUUCUUGCUGAAACUUGUGCAGUAGUUUGCUAUUCGAAAUUUUCUAUAAGAUCUUCUGUUGUUCACUGAAAAUUGAAUGAGCUAAAAUUUUGAUUUUAAGUAUUCCGACCUGGG